rnacentral:rRNA from 1 species
GUAGGUGGCAAGCGUUGUCCGGAAUUAUUGGGCGUAAAGCGCGCGCAGGCGGUUCUUUAAGUCUGAUGUGAAAGCCCACGGCUCAACCGUGGAGGGGUCAUUGGAAACUGGAGAACUUGAGUACAGAAGAGGAAAGCGGAAUUCCACGUGUAGCGGUGAAAUGCGUAGAGAUGUGGAGGAACACCAGUGGCGAAGGCGGCUUUCUGGUCUGUAACUGACGCUGAGGCGCGAAAGCGUGGGGAGCAAACAGGAUUAGAUACCCUUGUAGUCCACGCCGUAAACGAUGAGUGCUAAGUGUUAGGGGGUUUUCCGCCCCCCUUAGUGCUGCAGCUAACGCAUUAAGCACUCCGCCUGGGAGUACGGCCGCAAGGCUG